rnacentral:rRNA from 1 species
AUACGUAGGGUGCGAGCGUUGUCCGGAAUUACUGGGCGUAAAGAGCUCGUAGGUGGUUUGUCGCGUCGUCUGUGAAAUUCCGGGGCUUAACUCCGGGCGUGCAGGCGAUACGGGCAUAACUUGAGUACUGUAGGGGAGACUGGAAUUCCUGGUGUAGCGGUGAAAUGCGCAGAUAUCAGGAGGAACACCGGGGGCGAAGGCGGGUCUCUGGGCAGUAACUGACGCUGAGGAGCGAAAGCAUGGGUAGCGAACAGGAUUAGAUACCCUGGUAGUCCAUGCCGUAAACGGUGGGCGCUAGGUGUAGGGGUCUUCCACGACUUCUGUGCCGUAGCUAACGCAUUAAGCGCCCCGCCUGGGGAGUAUGGCCGCAAGGCUAAAACUCAAAUGAAUUGACGGGG